rnacentral:rRNA from 1 species
AUCUACGGCCAUGCUGCCCUGACCAUGCCCAAUCUCGUCUGAUCUUAGAAGCUAAGCAGGGUCCGGCCUGGUUAGUACUUGGAUGGGACCCACCUAGGAAGACCGGGUACUAUAGGUG